CAAGUGCGGAGAUAUUUAGCCCUGCAAACUUGUUCUGAUGGAGUGCUUGCUUUGUCAAGAACCAGUUUUCCUGUCAUUUACCCGAGACUGGACUAGCAAACGGGGACAAUUCGGACAUUUAGGCAAGCGCUGGUACCAGCAAACAAACUUGCCUGCCAAUGUCAGUGUUGCAAAAUUGGCGUUUCGAACUGGUUUUAACGAAACUGAGCGUUCCUCAUAUAGUAAUGUGAAAGAAGGGUCAACUUCUCAAAAACAUGUUUGAAGCUCCAAACUUGCAUCGCUGCUACUGGUACCAGCAAACAAAGGAACCUGCCAGAGCUUGCCUAAACGUCCCCAUAGCUCCCACAUCUUGAGGAACCCAAGGACUCCCUUCUCUGAGUUUGCUAUAGGGCCAACCUGGGUUUGCACCCUGGCGAAAACCAUGUCCCACUGGCAACUGGAUUGGACUCACCUCUGGGUUACAUCCUGAUUCAGCGUCGAUAGGCUCAAAGGUGUGCAAACCAGAAUCCCAGAAACCCUGGAUGGGGGAUGGUCUAAAUGGUCUGAUUGGAGUGAAUGCUUCACCAACGGUACCAGAGUCAAGUUUCGAAGCUGUACCGAUCCAACUCCAAGUGGAGCGGGUCUGAAUUGUGGUGGGAAUGAAGACGAAAGUGAGGGCUGUCAAGUCCACUUCUCUGCUUAUUAUGUCCAAGAUCAGAAACACACUGGAACACCAUUGAGCUCUCAAUCCACGGCUGAUUCUCGGGAAUGUCACAGAACAUGUCAAAUCAGUGAAUCUGGAUGCGUUGCUUGGACGUGGAACCAAUCUGGGACUUGCCACCAUUUCUCAAGCUAUUUCGGAAUGGCCCCUGAAGUUGGGUCAGUCAGUGCUCCCAAGCUUUUAAAUUGCCUCCAAGUUGAUACCGAAUUUGUGGCGGGCACAUUCAAGCAAUUAACCGUGGAUAUGGUUGAGGAAUGCCAAGAACGAUGCCAAUUGAAUGCCAAUUACAAGUUUUUUUCGCACAAUAUUCGAGCACGGAAGUGCUAUUUGAAGUCAGAGAAAAUAUUGGCAAACAAUAUAGCUUUCUUUGCAUCAGGUCCAAAACAUUGUUAAAAUUCUUUGAAGUAAGCUAAAGUAUCUAGCUAUAACAUGAUUGUGACGGGACAAACUAAUGAUGAACACACGCUCCCUUGCAUUCUGAAGGAAGAUCUGUCAUAUCUUAAUUUUCCUUUAUAAAUAAUUGCUUUGAUUAGAUCUUGAUGUUGGCAUUUAGAAACUAUUUUCAGGCCAAACACAGCGUUGUGAAAAUUGUUACACCUCUUUAUUCCAAGCAAUACACAUUUUGCUUUAGGCCAAUGCAAAUAAAAAUUGAACAGAGAACGCUAAAACCAAAUUGAUUCUAAAAAAGUAAUAAUACACCAAAUGAUUAUCCAAUAUCAUGUAAUUUGAUGUAAAAAAGCUCCUGUUUGUGCUCCUCUAUCGAUAUUACUUUGAUUACUUUCUCCUAAAUUACCACAUACUUGGAAUACAAUGACGGAAACGACUGUUACUUCAAAAUUGUGCAUCUUAAUCGCAGAAUAAAAACCCUGGUUGUGUU